AAACCCUGUUUGUUCCAUGCGAUGGUACCAGACCAGGUUCAAUGAACCUGAAAAAGCAUCUCUCUCUCGACAAAAUUAAAACAUCCUCCGGCCCAUGUUUCUUGUUUUUUCUUUUUCUUAAUGUUCAGGUAAGUUUUGUAUUAAUAUACACCCUCCCUUCAAACUGUUCAUAUUAAAGCAUCUAUCUCUCUGCCUGCCUUUGCUUAGCUUCUUUGUAUUGCAUCUCCCAGUUCUGCAAUGCCCAUUCAACUUCUUGGGUUUCUUCAUCAGCCCCUCCAUGGCUCCAUGCCCUUUAAGGGAAGCUGAUGAAGAGUUUUGUGCUAACAAGUGGGAAUCCCUUUUCAUUGAUGGAGAAGGGAAGGCCUAAGAUGUUUGAAGAGUUCCCCUAAAGAAACUUCAAUUUUAUUACUAAGCCACUUAAUAAUUAUUGGCUUAUAUAUAUAUAUAUAUAUAUCCUCACAUGGAAUCCAUGCAUAUAUUUUAUAUGCUUUGGUUAAUUUUCUUGAUGAGAUCAUAUAUAUGCACGAGAUGUUAUUAAAAAGAACUUUAUAUUAUUUGCACGCAUCUUAUUUUA